CUUGGAGUAAGUACCAGCUGACAGGAGUAGCAGCUCUGGUUCCAGGUAAGGACAAUGGCUUGGACUCCAAGCAGCUCCAUCAGAUUCAUUCAUGAAGGCUGCGGGUGUCUGUGAUAAUGGCAAUGUCUGGGAGCGUCAGUGGGUGUUUUUAUUCAGCUUCUUCACUGCUGGGACUUAAAGACCCAAUCAGAACAACUGUAGUGGGGGAAAGGACUCAUGGUUUUUGAAGUUUUAGUUCAUAGAAGGUCCACUCCAUUCCUCAGGGCUUGAGGCAAGGUAGAACAUCAUGUUGGGAGAGUGGCAGAAGGAAGUAGCUCAUAUCAUGAUCAGAGAGCAGAGAGAGAGAGUUUACUCACCAGAUACAAACAUAUACCUAAAGCCACACCCUAAUUCCCACCUCCUCCAGCCACACCCUGCCACUUCAGUUACCACUCAGUUAAUCCCUAUCAAAGAAUUAAAUCACUGAUUGGGUUAAGACUCUUAUAACCCAAUCAUUUCUCCUCUGAAACUUUGUUCUCUGUCUCACACGUGAGCUUUUUGGUAACACCUCACAUUCAAACCAUUACAUUUGCCCCUGGCUCCCAAAAUCUCACAACCCUCUCACAAUGCAAAAUACAUCUUCCCCCAUUUCCAAGAGUCCCCACAGUCAAUAGUUCCAAGAUUCCUCAAAGUUCACGUCCAAAUUCUUUUCUGAGGCUCAAGGCAAUCUCUCAUCGUGAGCUCCUGCAAAAUUAAAAGCAAUUUACAAGUAUAUAAUAUACAAGGUUACAGAGUACCCAUUUCCAUUCACAAAAUUAGGGGCAUAGAAGGGAUAGGACCAAAAUCCAGCUGGGCAAACAAGUCCUGUAGAUCCAUAUCUGGCAUCUAGGGCAUAUGACAUCAUGAUGUUCUCUCAAAGGGCUUGUGUGGCUCUACCCAUGGGGCCUUGUUUGUUGCAGCCCAAGUGGCCUCUCUGUUGGCUUGCUUUACUCAAUUCCUUUAGCUUCCUAGGAUGAUGUCCUACAUUACUGGUAUUUCUUAAUCUCAGGGGUCUCCACUGGAGCUUCGGUUUUCUCCUCACAUUUUGACUUCUUAGGGGGUACCUGCACUGCUGCAAUUUGCCUGGCUUCCCAGGCCUUCCUUUGAAAUCCUCCUGGAAGCCUCCAUGAACCCCUAACUCCAGCAUCCUGCAUUCCUGUAAAAUUAGCACCAUGUGGUUGACUCCAAGGUCUGCUGCCAUCUGAGCAGUAGCCAAGCCUCCAGGGGCCCUGGCUACAGCAGUCUCUGAGUGCCUGGGUGGCUGAGCAUGUUGAAAACACUUCCUAGGCCCACUUGUGCAAGAAAGGUGACCCAUUGGUCUCUUCUCCAGAGAAUUUUCACCUUUAUCCCCUGGAGCCUGAGAUGAGUAUGGUCUUGCCAGCUCCUGAGAUGACCUCAAGCCAUCUUUCUCAUUGUCUCUAGGAAAAGUCUAGCAUUUCUGUAUUGGCAGUAAAGUCUUUAACAACUGCUCUAGUUUUACUAGCCCUAGUUUUACUCUGGCCUUUCAAAUCCACAUUUUCCAAGUCUUUCUGCUUUGCUUUCUUUCCCCGAUUAUCACAAUAAAUUUGGCUAAAAGCUACCAGCAAUAUUCAUGCCACCGCCUGAAUGCUAUGCUGCCUAGAAAUUACUUCUGUCAGAUUAAGAAGUCCAUUACUUCUAAGAUCAGUCUCACAGAAAGUCUCUGGACAGGGCAGAAUGAAGACAGCUUCUCAGCCAGAACAUAACACAAAUGGCCUCUACUCCAAAUUCCAAUAGAGUAGUCCCCUGAACCCUCUUGAGACCCGUCUUCAUUAUCCCCAGUCCUAUUGACAUUUUGGUCUUCUGAAGUCCCACCAGAAUCGGCCAUUAAGCUCUGCUUACAAAAACCUAAAGCAUUUCUAGCUUGCACUGUUAAACAUCUCAAAAUUCCUUCCACCAAUUCCAAAAAGCUCAAAAAGCUUCUGAACCACAUGUUCAGGUUAGGCACAGCAAGGACCCCACUCCUGGUACCAAUUUCUGUUUAAGUCAGCUUCCUUCACUGCUGCAACUUAAAGACCCAUCCAGAACAACUAUAGAGGAGAAAAGUUUAUUUGAGGGGUUCAGAAGUCUUAGUCCAUAGAAGGCUGGCUCCUCGGAGCUUGAGGCAAGGCAGAACAUCAUGUUGGGAGACUGUGGGCAGAUGGAAGCAGCUCAUGCCAUGAUCAGAAAGCAGAGAGAGUCCACUAGCCAGAUACAGUGGGGAAGGCUGCUGGGGUCUGACUGCUUCUUCCACAGAGAGAGGUCAUGGCAGAGAGACUCCCCCUUGUUACCCGUGUCAGCCUAAGAGAUGUGGUAACACACGUUAAAUGCUGCCCACACUUUUCAAUGCAGCCAUUCUGGGUUUUGUGCCUUAAUGGAUUGCUGAACCUUCUUUACUCUCUAGCUCUCCCAGAGCUAUUUUUGCUGGUGACUCAUUGUUAAAUUAUUGCUUUUGCCAGGAGAGCAAGGGCCAGGGCCUCUUUAUUCAUCACCUUCCUGAUAUCAUUUCCUGGCUUUUAAUUUUUUUAAUUGAUUUUUUUUCUGAUUACAAAGUAACAGGUUUACUGAAAAAAAUAUUUCAGAAGUUGAAGAAAUUAAAACAAUAAAAUGAUCUAUUGAUUCAUAAUCUGAUAUAAAUUCAGGCUUUUUGUAAGGCAUUUGUAAGUGUACCUAUAUUUUAGCAAAGUAUACCUACAAUUUUGAGAUGAUAACCUUGAAAAUGCAUUUUUAGGAACUGCUUUUGUAGUGUGCCACUAUCCCACAAACAUUUUUCAGGCUGUUGAGUAUCUGUCUACAGCCUGGUUUAUAAUGGCUGCCUGCUGUUUCAUCAUAACAUACUGUGCAAAAUCACUUGUCUGCCAUUGACAUUUUGGUUGUUCCUACAAUUUUUGCUAUUAUAAAUAAUUCUAAUAGUCUAUAUUCUUAUAGUUUAAUCUUUUCACAUGUCUCAUUACUUACUCUCUUGGUCUAAGUUUGUAAAAGUAAAUCACUGGGUUAGAGACUCUGUGAUUCUGAGAUUUCUAGCAUGUGCUGCCUGGUCACCCUCCACAAAGGCCCCUCAAUUGAACUGCCUUGCUCAAUGUGUGGAAUACCUAUCCCUUUGCCUACAGGGAGCUUGCUUUUACUUUCCUUGCAAAAUUCUGGACGAUCAUGAGUGUGAUUUUUAUUUGUCAUUUCAAGAUAUAUAUUUGUACCUAAACUUUUUAUUGUAGGUUGACUACAAAUUGACCUCCAAGUGAAUAACCCUCUUCUAUUUCUUGACAUUAUUUUUUAAAAGUUAAAAACCAAAAAAAAAAAAACUAAUUUCAGUGCAGCUUAAGAUGCUUCUGGCAUGUGAUUGUAAGAACUCAUAAGAUCUAAGAUCUUCUUGAUGUAUAUACGUAGAAUAUAUCCUCUCUGCCAAUGCGCAUCACAAUGUGCCCGGAGUAUUUCUAUCACUAUACCUACAUUGUAAUAUUCCCUUAUUUUCACUACUGUAGAAAUUAAUAGAUAAUUUUAAAAGGAGAAAUUUCUCACUGUAUAGCAAGUCCCUCUGCAUACACACAGAGUCCCUUUGAAGGACAGCACUCUCCCCUCCAGCCCACUCUGGGCUCUCACCUCCUUGGGGCUAGUCUUGGCAUCACUUAAAUUGCCCUUAGUACAACCAACCUAGAGCCCAGUUGUUGCCUACCUUUUGGGUGACUGAGUUGGGACUAUAAUCAAGCAGUUAAAAUUUGGAGGGUUGGAUAUAGUCUUCCUCCUAUGGGCCCCUCGGUACUGGCUUCCUCCUCUCCCAUCAUUCCAGGACUAGUAGAAAGUCAGCCUGAGCCCCUUUGGGAGAGGUACACAUCACCUCACAAGCAGCACAGAGAGAUUCUGUUUGGGAAACACUCAAGUACUUUUUUUUUUUAACUACAGGAUUUAAAAACCACCACUGAAAACUGGUAGUCCUACAUUCUUAACCCACAAAUAUCUCUGUGUACAAGACUGCACUUGUAAGAAACCAGGCCUGCAAUUGCUCACACCAUAAAAUCAUCCAAAACAUUCGCUAAGUUUCCACUCUGUGCAACACUGUGAGGGUUAAUGAAGUCUAAGUGAGUUACCCCUGUCCUCAGCUUAUUUAUGAUGGAAAAUGACAAUUAUAUACCACGCACAGAUUAUCACCUGUUACUGUUUAAGUUUAUGGUAACAGCUCCUCUCCUUCCAACAUAAGCAUAGUUAUCGCAUUUUAAAUUAAAGACAAUUGAUAAAAAGAAUCAAAAUCUAAUACAAAGUCUACUACCAUCUGGACAAAUUUCUCUGAGCUGCUCUCAGAUUCUCCCUAUUUUCAGAUCCUGCACUUAGUCCAACAGGAUCCUAUUUCCACCCGAAUGAUUCCCAACCUCUUCCACAGUUAUCCAGAGCUAAUGGCUAAUUCUCAGCAAGUGUGGCUAACAGAGGUUUGGGAAUUGCAAUUGGACAUAGACUAUAAAUGAUACAUAAUAAAACAGAAAUCUAAACCACAAGUAUAUUAGUUACCAUUUAGCCAACUGUAAGGAUGUUUGGGUGAUAUUUCGAAAACGGGCCACAGCAAUAACUGUGUUUUUCUGGUGACUGCCCCUUCCAUUGGAGUGGAGUAGAUGACCUCCUGAAAUGUUUUUCAGUCUAAGUUAACGUUAAGGAAUAAGCCGACGCCAAAGCAUAUCAAGUAAACCAAAGCCCUCUCCUCAUAAGACAUAUCUCAAGGAAACCCACUUAGUUUCAAGGGAGAGUAAAAGAAAGAAGGAAAUCUUAACAGUGACGUGUCCUGAAUGAAAUUAGGCAUGGUUCUGCAUUUGAGAUGUUUUUAUCAGGGUGUUAUUAACCUGAGCAACAGCUAACUGCUCACAAUUCCAUCCUUGGUAAUUUGUGGCUUUCUGAGUACCUCAUGCCUCCUGCUUAAUCCAUCAAGAAAAUAUUCCUCCCCCUAAAACACACAUCCUCUUGUUAUUUUUACCUCCCUCCCGCCUGCUUAGCUCCACACUGCCCCUAUUAUGUGGCCCCAGCCAGGCUCACAGAGAGCUCCCUGGGGUGAGGACUUGACAACUUAAAGGACCUUUGAAUAGAUUGGGUAAAAUACAGGCUGUCCUUCCCAUCCCCUGUCCACAUCUCCAAAGCUUUGUGUAGAUGAAGGAUAUCCCGAGCAAGCUGUGACCUAGGUGAGGACAGACCCGUGCGGCACUGAGCCUGGGAUAGAGAAGAGCCUGGCAGGAUGCAGAAAAUUUCAGAAGUCCUCCCUGCAGUGGGUGUUUGGAAGUUGAGUCCCUACCUACCUCCCAGGAUGAACCAUUAACACAAAAGCACAGAGCAGUCUAGUGUACUAAUUAAAACCAUUUGGUCAAGUCUUCCUUAAUGAAUCUUUCAGAAACACGGUAAAAGUCAGAAAAUGGAAUGAAACAAUCCACGUAAUUCCAGAAACACAUUAUAUAAAAAUCCAGUGAGCACUCAUGUGCCAAGCUCUCCACAUUCAUAUAGCAUUGACUUCUCACAACUACUCUAACAGGUAAACAUGACCAUUGUUUACUAUUUUCAUCUUAGAGAUUGAGGGAAUUGAAUUAAGGGAAAUCAAGAAACUUAUUAUGUGUCCCAAACUGGCAAAUACAAUGCCAAAAUUCAGGCCUUAUCUCAUUCUAGUAUUAAAGAUUUUUCUCUAUCUGAUCUUCUAACCACGUAUCCUCAAGCCAUGGAGAAAUCGAGUGCCGCAGCUUCCUGGAGAGUCUUCAGAUAGACCGUCAUGGCUGUGGGUGCCGGUCACUGUGAAAUGUACAGGUCUUGGGAGUGAGACCAUUGUCACUUCCAUCCAUUCACACUUCUUAAAUGAAUACACUUUGGGACUUUAGUUGAAAGUUUCUUGUUUAGAUGUAAAGACCUUCAUGUUUAGUACUAAUAGAGUCUAGACCUUAAACUGGAACCUUGCAUUACCAAGAGUCCAGAUGUGAUGAACUCCAUGAAAUGGCCCCCAGGAUGUCAAACCCUAAUGGCUCCAAGGUCAGUUAACAAACAACAGAGAGAGAGGGAAUACCAGCCGAAACCACCACUGGUUUGUGAGAAGAAGGGCAGAAGCUGAAUUCUCAAAUGGGAAAGGACAAGCAAUGGGUCUUUGGGUCAUCUUGGGUGAUGAAAAGAAGGGCUGUUAUCUGGAGAAGAAGAUGCCAGUAAUAAGAGGCCAGGUGAUCAGCUGGCCAACACAAGAAAUCAUGGUGCUUAGUAGAUGCUGUUAACUAGCCUGCUAUAGGUUGGAUUUGCUAGAUAGGAACCUGCAGCCCAGGCUGUUAACAACGUCAAGCCUGACGACCCGCCCCCCCCUCAUGGUCAAAAUACCACACAACAUUGCAUAAAUCACAUGCAUUUUAAAAGUCUGACAUAAGUUAAAAGUGAUUUAUAGAUUGGUUGGGGACAGCGUUUAUCAUCCACACUGAGAAGAUAUUGAGAUUGGAAGGAGAGAUUAUCAUAAUUUACAUCUGGACAUGUACUCUAAAGUUGUUCCAGGAAAAGCAGGAUUAUGAUCACCAAUGUGUGGGCUAUACAUUACUCCACAAAUCACAUUUUCUGUGAAACGGGAGUAACACUUACUCUCUUUGUCUACAUUAUAGGAGGACUGAAUGACAUGAUAAUGACAGUUACAUAUUUUUGUAAGCUAUAAUGUAUGAUAUAAAUAAAUAGAUUAUACUAUGUAAGCAUAGAGUGAUUUACCAUGGAGUAUGCUUUGCUCUGAAUAGAUGCUCAUAUGCACCAAUAUCAUAGGCAUGAAAAACCUUGGCUUCUGGGCCUUGCCUUGUGCUAAAUGUGUGAUAGUUCUGUCUCUUCACCAAUAUAAGGAAAUUGAAGGAUAUUUCUAACAUAUGUUUAAUAAUUGAAUUAAUUUAGAUAAAGUUAUCUUGUCAGAUCAAGAUGAUAUUUCAAUGUAGACAUCAGUAGAGUUUUCACGAAUGUUAGCCUCUUGGACUUAGUGAAAUUAUAAUCCCCCAUAUGCACACAAAUCACACACACAUACCUUCCUCAUCACAAAUUCACAAACUGAAAUCAUAUAGAUACACACAUGAUAGUUUAUCCCAUUUUAAACUAACGGGUUUAUUAAGAUUCUCUGAAUUUCUCUCUCAUUCUAUCAAGAUACCACUGACUCUAAAAUAAUUGGUGUCACUAUGUAACUAUGGUUCUGAUGAACUUACACUCAAGAUUUAAUGUAUUUGUUAUGCUGGCCUCCAAGCACCAAAAUGUCAAAGAGAUGUCCAUUGGAUGCAUGACUUGUGUGAUAGCAAAAAUAAUUGAAAAUCCCAUUGAGUUACCAUGAACUUCAUCCAAGCUGUGUGAGCUCCAAUGAGCCAAAUUUAUACUGUGGUCAACUUGCUGGUUCCUUAAUUUGAAUGUUAAUCAAAGUGCAAUGAAGGUUUCUUCUCUCUUUUAAUUUCUAGUUACUUGUUACUAUAUUUCAAUUCAUAUAAAUGCAGAAGGAGCACACCAGCCAUAGGAAUGCUAGUUACUCACUAACCAGAAAAAUGGUGCUCAUUCUUUAUUUACAAGGUCCUUGGGAACCGUUGUCUCUGAAUUUAAGCAUGAUGCAUACAUACACCCCUAUCUUCAAUAACUGCAGACUAUAUUUUAAAAACAGCAAUGAAAUGAAAGAACAACCUCCCACCUUCAAGGAGUACACAAUUUAGGAACUAAGAGUUGCCUUCGUCUUGAAAAAGAAGAGAAGGAGGGAAAGAAAGGAGAACAACAGAGAGAGGGAGAGGGAGCUAGAAAAAGAAAAAGAUUAACUGAGUAGGGGAAAUAGUUUUCAUGCAUGGAUUUUCUUUUAAGGGAAACAGAGAGAGAUAAGCAGGAGGGCAUUUCUUUUCUGUUUCUUUCAUGGCCCCAUGAUUACAGAACAUCAAAUGGCAGGGGGCAAGAGUGACAGGUUCGCCUCACCAAGGCUAUUGAGAAGGAGGGCAGCAGAGGAGAUAGAAUCACAGCAGAGCAGGAUGUGGAGCAGGCCAGGGCCUGCACAGCACCCAGGUAUGUGGCUGAGAGGCAGGCGCUGGCCCGCGGCAGGUGCAGCACAGCCAGUGCCUGGCGGCCUCAGGAAAAGAAAUCCUGCAGGUGCAGUCAGGACAUGUCCUGAGCCUCCCCAGCCACGCGUUUUUUUUUUCUGAAUAGUUGUCCUAUCUUCAUUGUCUGCCAGCAAGAUUAUGAUUUGCAGUGGGAGGAUGCAAAGCAGGGAGUGGUUGGUGGAGUCUCCAGUUCUAGUGACUUUGAUGUACUACACAACGGCUCUGAUGAGGUGAAGUGGGCUUUGGGGGUCCCUGGGUGAUCCUGAACUGGCUGAGGCUGUAGCAAUGGAGGUGCCCUCUGCCAGCCUCAAAGCAGCUCUCUGCCUGCUGCUUCCAGGCUAUAUGAACACUGUGCAGUGUCCUGGCUGAAGCUGUGCCUGCAUCUUCCUUCUGAAAGGCCACUAGUCACUGUCCUCCACAUCUGAAAGUCUCUGUUCUCCUUCACCAUCCUAACUCAGUGAUCACAACCCUGAGAUCUUCCAGGCUGCCUGAAUUCCCCUCGCACAUUCCAGAAGUUAACGUGGUUUAGCACACACUGUAGGUACUCUGUAUUUUGUCCAAUUAUCUCUCAGCCCCUGUCAUGACCUGUAAUCAGAGGCAGUUUUGCAAAUAAGCAAUGGUCGUCUUCAACUGGAAACAGGAGAAAGAAAUGAAGACAGGGUAUCUUUUGCCAGCAGUGAAUGCAUGGUCACAGGAAGCUCCACCCUGUUCAGAAAAGUCUAGGAUAUAUGGGGGGGAGGGCGCUGAGAAAUGAAAAGAUGGGAGCAUUUUAUCUUUUAUCUUUUUGGAGCAUUUCCUUGAGGUAAGAGAAUUGUUGUAGCAGUGACGGUGACCAACAGAAUGAGAAGGAAGGAACGUAGGGGGAGGUUUUGCUCACCCUAGACAGUGACCCAGGGAAAAAAGAAGGCUGGAGGUUGUGCAGGAAAGGAGGUACUGACACUUGCAGAAGGUUCUGGAACAAAGGUUAGAGAGAAAGCAAGAAGCAAGUGGGUCUUUUCAAAAUAAAAGAGCAGAUCAAGUCACGGAACAAUCCAAAUAACUCUGGAGAGAGGACAGAGGCACAGAAUGACAAGGAAAUAUGGAAAGAAUGGGUAGCUGGAGGCUUUAGGGGGGGCAACAUAUAGGUACUUGAUGGAGGAGGUGGUGAAAGAGCUUUGGGACAAGAGGAGAUCAGAGGACCCAAGCAUAUAGUCAGGUUGGCACAGAUGCUGUGGGUGCAGAAUGCUAGGGAAGCUCUGCACAUUGGGUCUGGUCUUUCCUCUGACACAGAGGCCAGGGAGUUCCCCAGUGACAUCAGGUGUCAGGGUGGAGUGAGGAGAGGUGCAGGAAAGGUAGCAUCUAUGCGAAGUGCACCAGGGGUUAUUGUAGUUAAAUCCCUUCUUUCUUGGGCCCUGGGCUCUAGCUGCCCCGAGUCUCUCCUGGCCCCUGACCCUUUUUGGCCUCCUCAGUCCACUUGAGUCAUGUGGGCAGCAACCACACACAUCCUGUCAGGACCUGUUCCUUCUGGAGAAGAGUGCAAAAACAAGAAAUUGCUUCGAAUGCUGCAAGAGACCAGCAACACCUGCUGAGGCGGAGGGGGGCGGGAUUGUAGGGAUAGGUAACAACACAAAACCAGAAUACAGAACAAUUUAAGACCUGACCCCAAUUGAAGAGCUGAUCCCAGCAACGAGAAAGAGAGAGAGAGAGACUGAGACAGACACUUGGACCACAAAGCAUAAAGAAAUGGCAGAACUCCGCUCUGGGCUACAGGUGGGCUAAGCCCAACAAAACUUCCAAUCCCUUCGGUUCAUCCUCACCUCAACAUGGCUUGAGCCUGCUCUUAAACUUGGUGCCCUGAAACCUGUGCUCUGUCCUACACUCUGAACCCAGCUCUCACCAAUGCAUUCUUCAGGAUCCAGCAAACACAUGCACCUUUGUUCUGGCCACGGAGAAAGACCUCCUCAGCGCCAUCCCAGGGAAAGUUUUUUGUCCUCCAAAUCCCAUCAGACUGCAAGGUAUUCCCAUCCUGCUGCCUCAUGGUUGCUCUGCUUCUAGGCCUUCCUGAGGGUCCCAGACAAGUGCCUGGAGCACACUGUACUUAGCUUUCCAUAACUACAGUGUGUGUGUGUGUGGUGGUAGGGUGGUUCAUCAGAAUACCUUCAACCCUGUAGGGUAGGAAGAUGGAAGUAAAAAAAGCACUUAGAGGGAGUCUGGUUCAUAGGAGAUGCUCAAUAAAUAUUAGCUCUCAUAAUUAUCUAUCAUAUAAAUAUCUGUGUGUUUUGGCUACAUUUCAGAGGUUUUGACCUGUCUGAUCCAGUGUUGCAUUCUCAAGAAAAGCCAUGAUAUCGGUUGCUGCAGGGUUACCCCUUAUAGCACUCAGAUUGUGCUCAGUAAGUGCCGCUGGCCGCCAGCCCACCUGCCGCAGUUCCUGAGCAGAACUGGAAUUCCUCCAGGGAUCAGCGUCCUAAGUGGGCAUGCCUGGAAGGAGCCAAGGCAGGUGCAGUUCAGCUGCUGUGAGUAGGUGAUUAAGAGAUUCCUCAUUAUAUGAUACACGAAAAAAAUCUUCCCAGGAAAAGUGCUCAGCAAAGAACACAAUGGUCUACUUUUAGAGAAUGCUGACUCUAAGUCAAAUUGGGAUCCCUAUCGAUUGAGAACAGCAAAGUGUUCUUACAAAACUUUGCUUACGGUGUCCCCUCAAAGCACACCGGUUGCUUUGAAGAAAUUCUUUCUUAGGAGCUGGGUAUGUUUCUCAGUGGUACAGUGCUCACCUAGCAAGUAUGAGGACCUGGGUUCAAUCCCAAGUACAGGGUCAGGGGGCAAACAGGAGGGGGAAAAAAUCUCUUAGACUUGUUACUGAGUGCCAUACUGCAAUCCAUUGCUGUGUGAGUUUUAGAGAAGCUUGUUAUCUGGUCUUAAUUUAAGGUCUGGUUGUAUGUGCAUGUGUUUUGUGUGUGUGUGUGUGUCUGUGUGCACAUAUACACACAUGCACCUGCCUUUACACCCAACGGGACUUUUUCUUCUCUGAAUCUCCCAAGUCCUUGGCUCCCUCUGCUAUUGCAAAUGCCUGCAUGUCUUGCCAAUAAACCCCAUAUUUAUGCACAUUGUCUUCUACUCACCUUGUUGGACUUUCCAGUCACUCCCCAGAUUGUGGGAAAGUCAUCUCCAUGCGGAGCGCAGAUAAUAAAAGUGACAGGCUUUGGAUCAGGGACAACAGAUAUGCCUCUGAGCUUCUGUGUUCUGCCUUUUAGAACAUGGCUGCCCCUUAAUACUGGUUCCUUCACAAACAACUACUCCCAACCAUGAGGGCAGCAGGCAAG
rnacentral:lncRNA from 1 species